rnacentral:rRNA from 1 species
GAAAGCAAAGAAGGGCAUAUGGGGGAUGCCUUGGCUCUCGGAGGCGAAGAAGGACGUGAUAAGCUGCGAUAAGCUGCGGUUAGAGGCAAAUGCUCUGUGAUCCGCAGAUUUCCGAAUGGGGGAACCCAACAGGUCUCGAACCUGUUACACGCGUAGCGUGGGCGAACGUGGGGAACUGAAACAUCUAAGUACCCAUAGGAAGAGAAAAUAACAAUGAUUCCGCCAGUAGUGGCGAGCGAACGCGGAAGAGCCCAAACCGCAGGUGUGGCGACGCAUCAUGCGGGGUUAUAGGACCGGCGCCGCGAAGCGGCAAGUCUGUAGCAGAACCGUCUGGAAAGUCGGACCGUAGCGGGUGACAGUCCCGUACGCGAAACGGACGCGCCAAUUCAAGCCGGCACCUGAGUAACCCGGAGCACGAGAAAUUCCGGGCGAAUUAUCGGGGACCAUCCCGAAAGGCUAAAUACUACCGAGAGACCGAUAGUGGACCAGUACCGUGAGGGAAAGGUGAAAAGAACCUCGAACAGAGGAGUGCAACAGACCCUGAAACCAUAUGCCUACAAGCGGUUGGAGCGGUUUCGUGCCGUGACAGCGUGCCUUUUGCAUAAUGAACCUACGAGUCACCGUCGUUGGCGAGGUUAACGGCAAGUAUGCCGGGAGCCGAAGCGAAAGCGAGUCCGAAGAGGGCGUCUAGUCAGCGGAGGUGGACGCGAAACCAAGUGAUCUACCCUUGGGCAGGUUGAAGGACAGGUAAAACUGUCUGGAGGACCGAACCGGUAAGCGUUGAAAAGCUUUCGGAUGACCUGAGGGUAGGAGUGAAAGGCCAAUCAAACUUGGAGAUAGCUCGUACUCCCCGAAAUGUAUUUAGGUGCAGCCUCGGGCGUUAUCUGACGGAGGUAGAGCGACUGAUAGGAUGCGAGGGCUUCACCGCCUAUCAAGUCCUGACAAACUCCGAAUGCCGUCAGAGAUAUCCCGGGAGUAAGGGCGCGGGUGCUAAGGUCCGCGUCCGAGAGAGGAACAACUCAGACCACCGGCUAAGGUCCCGAAAUCCGGGCUAAGUUGAAGACAAUAACGAGGUGGGAUUGCAUAGACAGCUAGGAUGUUGGCUUGGAAGCAGCCAUUCAUUUAAAGAGUGCGUAACAGCUCACUAGUCGAGUGAUCCCGCGUGGAUAAUAAUCGGGCAUUAAGUCCGGUACCGAAGCCGUGGAAUCAUGCUCAGAGCAUGAUUGGUAGGGGAGCAUUCCAUUCGCCGUCGAAGGUACGCCGCGAGACGUGCUGGAGGUCAUGGAAAAGCAAAUGUAGGUAUAAGUAACGAUAAUGGAGGCGAGAAACCUCCACGCCGCAAGACCAAGGUUUCCUGAUCAACGCUAAUCGGAUCAGGGUAAGUCGGGACCUAAGGGGCAGCCGCAAGGCGUACCCGAUGGAAGAAACGGUCAAGAUUCCGUUACUGUGUUUGAGAGUGAAGCGGGGACGGAGAAGUGAAACGUCCGCGGACUGACGGAAUAGUCCGUUAAAGGGUGUAGAUAAACGCUGUGCAGGCAAAUCCGCACGGAGUGUCGAACCUGACAGUACCGGGCGCCUUCGGGCAACCGGAUAGUGACGGUAACCAGACUCCCAAGAAAAUCCGCUAAACAUAUCUCAGAUGCACCCGUACCGAAACGGACACACGUGGUCGGGUAGAAAAUACUAAGGCGCUCGAGAGAUUCACGGUUAAGGAACUAGGCAAAUUGACUCCGUAACUUCGGGAUAAGGGGUCCCACCGCAGGGUGGGAGCAGAGAAUAGGUCCAGGCAACUGUUUAACAAAAACACAGGGCUGUGCAAAAUUUAAAGAUGAAGUAUACAGCCUGACACCUGCCCGGUGCCGGAAGGUUAAGAGGAGAAGUCAUCGCAAGAGAAGCUUUGAAUUGAAGCCCCGGUAAACGGCGGCCGUAACUAUAACGGUCCUAAGGUAGCGAAAUUCCUUGUCGGGUAAGUU